CAAUUAAUGAGCUUAUAUCCAACGCCUCAUGUUUUUCCUAAUUUUCUAUUUCUGAUUUUUAUUUUUAUUUUAUUUCUUUUAUUCCAUUUCAUUUCAAAAAUCAUAUCUCAUUCAUUAUUAGUCCAAAAAAUGUGAGACUAGUUGCAUUAUUUCUCUUUUAAUUUCUAGUAUCUAAAAAUGUUUUUAUUUUUUAUUUUAUUUUAUCAUUUGAUAUUUUUUAUGUAUUU
rnacentral:lncRNA from 1 species